rnacentral:rRNA from 1 species
CCUACGGGAGUCCGCAGUGAGGAAUAUUGGUCAAUGGACGAGAGUCUGAACCAGCCAAGUAGCGUGAAGGAUGACUGCCCUAUGGGUUGUCAACUUCUUUUAUAUGGGAAUAAAAUGUUCCACGUGUGGGACUUUGUAUGUACCAUAUGAAUAAGGAUCGGCUAACUCCGUGCCAGCAGCCGCGUUAAUACGGAGGCUCCGAGCGUUAUCCGGAUUUAUUGGGUUUAACGGGAGCGUAGGUGGAUUGUUAAGUCAGUUGUGAAAGUUUGCGGCACAACCGUAAAAUUGCAGUUGAAACUGGCAGUCUUGAGUACAGUAGAGGUGGGCGGAAUUCGUGGUGUAGCGGUGAAAUGCUUAGAUAUCACGAAGAACUCCGAGUGCGAAGGCAGUUCACUGGACUGCAACUGACACUGAGGCUCGAAAGUGUGGGUAUCAAACAGGAUUAGAGACCCCUGUAGUC